GAUGAACGCUGGCGGCGUGCCUAAUACAUGCAAGUCGAGCGAACAGACGAGAGUGCUUGCACUCUCUGACGUUAGCGGCGGACGGGUGAGUCACACGUUUGUAACCUACCUAUCAGACUGGGAUAACUUCGGGAAACCGGAGCUAAUACCGGAUAAUAUUUAGCUUCGCAUGAAGCAAUAGUGAAAGACGGUUCUGCUGUCACUUAUAGAUGGACCCGCGGUGUAUUAGCUAGUUGGUGAGGUAGCGGCUCACCAAGGCAACGAUACAUAGCCGACCUGAGAGGGUGAUCGGCCACACUGGGACUGAGACACGGCCCAGACUCCUACGGGAGGCAGCAGUAGGGAAUCUUCCGCAAUGGACGAAAGUCUGACGGAGCAAUGCCGCGUGAGUGAAGAAGGUUUUCGGAUCGUAAAACUCUGUUGUAAGGGAAGAACAAGUACGUUAGUAACUGAACGUACCUUGACGGUACCUUACCAGAAAGCCACGGCUAACUACGUG
rnacentral:rRNA from 1 species